CACGACAGUCAGCUGAGCUCCGUAUAGUUUAAUAAUAUGUGGCACCGGGAACCCCGGCUAAAUUUCGCGCUCGCGCAAUGAAAGGUUCGGUGUGAUUUUUGUGUCGUCUCGCGAAAUUUAGCCGGAGUUUCCGGGGGGUAUGUACUGUGGUCUAGUACAGUACCAGAAGGACAAUAAUAUAACCUCGAAAUUACCAGCUGUUUUAUGUUCUUUAUGUUGAUUGUUGAGUGAUCAAGUGCUACCAGCUCUCAGCCAAUGCUCAAGAGAAAGUUGGUCUUUAUCUAUGAGCUAGUCCAGAUCAUGUAAUUGGCCGCACCAGAGUACUUAUCUAUGGCGGCACGUUAAUUUAGAUGAAAAUUAUAAUGUCAGCUAGUAAAGUACACCAGUUAAACAAAGAGCAACUAUUUGCCUAUUUUCUAAACAGAAACUGAUUAAAAUAGUAUAGUUUCUGUAGUACCCUCAUUUUAGUGUGACUUGUGACGAAAAGUACAGUAGUUUAAACUAUAUACUUUGUAGUAUAAUAUACUAGGUACUGAGUUUGACAACGUGUGUGGUUGAGUCAGCCUUAAAAAUAAACUAAAAAGCAAUUGACUUGAAGAUGGAAUCUAUUUCAGACGAAAAAAAAUUGAAAAAGGUAUUGGUUUUCCAGAAAGGUGAUAAAUAUUAUUUUCCUAAAACCAUACCGAAAGAGAGGAAAUCUGCUACAGAGGCGUAUGUGCUAAUGCUGAUCUUAAUUUUUGUAGUUCAUUUAGUACUAUCUGACUGCAGAAGUUGUGUGCCAAGUUUUUAUACAUCUGCAUGCAUCAUCCACUUUGUUACUUGCUUGAUAUACAGAUUUAUCAUUUUCCUAUACGAGUUGGGUCACAGUUGUUCAAGAUAUGGAAAUGAUAAUAUCGAAAUAUUGAAAAGAGCCUUUUACUUUGACUAUAAAGUAUAUUGUCUUGUGACGCCAUGUACCUUUCACAUGGUAUAUUACCUAUCGAAUUAUGGUUUACCAACUCUUGAGGACAAGCUCUGGUUCUGCGUGAUACCAUUUAUUUUUCUGUUGCAUCGCAUUAUAGAUUUGGAAGAAUUUCCUAUCAAAGACUCAUUAUGGAUUGCAAAACAUACUGGAUUAGACUACGGUUCUGGAAUGGCAUACUCGUUUUUUUAUGGAUAUUUAAAUUAUAUGUUAAACAAAAUAGGGGAUCCGGGUAAAAAUCUUCAUGAUAUGAUGAAAGAGUACGAAUCGGCAAAUCGAGUUCGUUUUGCAGUUUAUAAAAUUUUCAUCCUAAUACCCAAGUCUUUGACAUGUUUUGAAAGUGUUAAGAAUGGUUCUACGUUGAUGGAAAUGCGAAGUACACUACUGGAGAAAAAAAUUACCAUUGCUGGAAUUAGAGAACGAAUUUAUAAACAUGCAGUAUAUAGCAUCAAACCUGAUCCCGAACUAGAUGGGCAUGUUUAUGUGUGUUGCGAAUUUGCUACCCCUUUAAAAACAUUUAAAGAAGUAUUGGAACGUAGCACACCACAUACAGAGUUCUAUAAGCAACAUAAAAAUGACAUUUUACUGCAGUUCUAUGUGACGUUGAAAGCUAUUUUGAAGAUGAAUAAAGUGGAUGCGAUGUGUGAGCUAGUCUAUUAUGAAGAAGCACAGUUAGCCGGACACUUAGACGCUAUGAAGAUACUGGUCAAGUGAACAGCAGACCUCGAAGUGGUCGUCACGUUACCACCCUACGAGAAGAUCGCUAUAUUUCCCAAUCAGCCCGUAGAGAGCACUCAGUCACCUUACCGGCAUUAAAAUCUCAGUUCCAGAGAACGUAUAACCGUGUGAUAUCCAGUGCUACUAUCCGCAGAAUACUUUUACAAUCAGGAUUGCGGUCCAGAAUGCCUUUAAGAGUUCCUUUGUUAUCUCAUCGCCACCGAAGGGUCCGUUUACAAUGGGCACAAAAUCAUUAAAACUGGCGAUUGGCAGAGUGGAGGAAUCGCGAUUUGGAUUGUUGAGCGAUGAUUACCGAGUAAGAGUUUGGAGAGAAGCAGGACGCCGAAGUAGGCUUCAUACUGCCGUUGCAGUUGCUACAUAUCGAGGUGGAACACAAAUGUUUUGGCGGGGUUAACACAUGUUAAAUAGAAGGAUCCCACUUAUUCACAUAUCGGGGUCGAUGACAGGGGACCAGUUCAUCUUUAUGGAUGAUAAUGCCAGGCCACAUCGCACCAGAGCUGUUCAAGAAGUAUUAGAAAACCGAAACAUCACAAGAUUCGAUUGGCCGGCUAUGUUACCUGACAUGAAUCCCAUCCAACACGUCUGGGAUUAUGUAUCAAGAGCCAUUUUCAAUCGGAAUAAUCCACCAAGAAAUGCCCAAGAACUUAUUAUUGCUGCUACAGAGGAAUAGGAAAAUAUCCCUCAGGAAGUAAUCAAUAAUUUGAUUAUUGGAAUGGAUAGACGUGUGAAUGCGUUUUUAAGAAGUAGACGCUCAAAUACUGCAUUUUUUAUUUUUAAAAUGUUU
rnacentral:misc_RNA from 1 species